rnacentral:lncRNA from 1 species
UGACAUUAUUAAUUAAUUUAUAGAGAUUUUACUGUACUUAUGUCUUGUUUUAAUUUUGAAUCUAGUGAAAAAAAUAAUAAUUUUGAUAAAUGGACUUUUGAUAUGAAGUGUAUAGUUGAGCUCCUAACACACUCUUAUGAAACCCUAAUUAUCAUGUUAAUAGCCUUACCUUUAUUAAAACAAUAAUGUUAGGGAUCUCGACAUUUAAAUCCGAACUUGAGUCCCAAUGCUAUGUGCCACUUAUCUAUUGGACGAUAGAUUUUAUAGCUAGUAAAAUUACUUAACCACCAUCCAAUAAAUGAAUGACACGUCAAUUAGGACUCAAAUUGGAAUUUAAAUGUUGAGAUACCUAGCAUCGUUCUUAUUAAAAUUGCAAAAAAGGAUAAAACAUUAUAAUAAAGUUAAUUAAAUUUAAACAUACUUUUUGAUAAUUAAUAAGUUAAUUAAAUUUUACACAUACUUUUUAAUCAUCAAUUAGAUUUUACACAAUCUUUUUAAUAAUAAAGUUGGAUAAUUUAUUACUUCAUUGUCUCAAAAUUAUUUUGAUUUUAUUAAAAAAAUAAUUAUAUCAUAAAUCAAGAUUUAAAAAGAUGAGAGGAUCCAUUAUUUGUAGGUGUAAACAUAUUUUAAUUUAGUUCAAUUCAUAAUUGUCCUUUAUCUUGUUUCAUCUAGUAAUAGAAGUAUGAUAGGAGAAAAAAAAAAGUUUUAUAAGGAUUGUAAAGGGGUGCGGAAAGCAUUACUCUUAACUUUAAGCCAAAUAAAUUGGACCGGUCCAGGAAUUACAAAACCCGCUUGAGGUUAUCGGGAUAACCCACACAUAUCGACACACAGCAGCCGUGAAGACGAUUCACCGCGGCCUAGGAUAAAUUGUGUCUGAUACAACAGAAUUACAUGAACAAGGAAGCUAAGGGCGAGAGCCAAACAUAACAUGAAUCCGGAAACAAUCUCAAGCAACGAGAAUAUGUGAUGAAUAAUGUGCUCCGGAAGAUUGCCGAGUCUAUUAAUAGUAAUUCCAUUUUAUCACUCCUCCUCCUCCUCCUCCUCUAUUAAUAGUAACAAUUUAUUAUUAUUAU